UUUAUGGAGAGUUUGAUCCUGGCUCAGGAUGAACGCUGGCGGCGUGCCUAAUACAUGCAAGUCGAGCGAACAGAUAAGGAGCUUGCUCCUUUGACGUUAGCGGCGGACGGGUGAGUAACACGUGGGUAACCUACCUAUAAGACUGGAAUAACUCCGGGAAACCGGGGCUAAUGCCGGAUAAUAUUUAGAACCGCAUGGUUCUAAAGUGAAAGAUGGUUUUACUAUCACUUAUAGAUGGACCCGCGCCGUAUUAGCUAGUUGGUGGGGUAAUGGCUUACCAAGGCAACGAUACGUAGCCGACCUGAGAGGGUGAUCGGCCACACUGGAACUGAGACACGGUCCAGACUC
rnacentral:rRNA from 1 species